UACGAAGGGGGCUAGCGUUGCUCGGAAUCACUGGGCGUAAAGGGUGCGUAGGCGGGUCUUUAAGUCAGGGGUGAAAUCCUGGAGCUCAACUCCAGAACUGCCUUUGAUACUGAGGAUCUUGAGUUCGGGAGAGGUGAGUGGAACUGCGAGUGUAGAGGUGAAAUUCGUAGAUAUUCGCAAGAACACCAGUGGCGAAGGCGGCUCACUGGCCCGAUACUGACGCUGAGGUACGAAAGCGUGGGGAGCAAACAGG
rnacentral:rRNA from 1 species